rnacentral:rRNA from 1 species
UACGUAGGGUGCGAGCGUUAAUCGGAAUUACUGGGCGUAAAGCGUGCGCAGGCGGUUCGUUAAGUUCGUUGUGAAAGCCCCGGGCUCAACCUGGGAACUGCAAUGGAAACUGGCGGGCUUGAAUGCGGCAGAGGGGGGUGGAAUUCCGCGUGUAGCAGUGAAAUGCGUAGACAUCAAGUGGAACACCAGUGGCGAAGGCGAGUCUCUGGACAUUUCCUGACGCUGAGGCACGAAAGCCAGGGGAGCAAACGGG